GAAUGUGUUCGGUUGUGCGCUUAUACAAUCCAUCGCGCACAGGAUAAAAAGAUUAAGGUGCAGGAAAGCGCGCGGUAACAUCACAGAACCCAGCGAUUCCCGCGUGCACCGCUUGCCUCGCAGCAACUCCAGUGACUCAACGGACUCACAAUUCAGUUCUGCAAUGCAUGAUGUCACCUAUUCAAAGUUAACGAGAAGCAUGAGUGCCGAUGUUGUUCAGAACACAACAAACGUAUGCAAAUCAAAUCGGGGCAAAAAUGAAGUUCUUCAAAGCAUGCUUUGCUUCUGAUGAUGAGGAGUCACACCAAAAACGUUCCAGAUGGAAUACGCGAAAGCGAAGAUGUUGCACAGCAUCCCCUGCCUUUCUCCUCCAUCUAGCCCCUGUAAGGAAUCGUCUCAGAGGGUAAUCUUGGGAAGGACGGUUUAGAGAACCUCCCUCAGGCCAUUUGUUCUUGUUUUUGGAUUUACUUAUGCCUUGCAGCUCAUUGAUUUAUGAGCAAUACUUUAAACACAUACAUUUUCUCUUUGUUUUAUUAGAUAAAAUCUCUACAUGCCUAAAGUUACCUGAAAUUUGUUAAAUGGAUUUAGUAAAAUGAAUUAAAAUAAACUGAAUUCUAAAACAAAAGCCUUGUUAUUUGUAUUUUUGUCCUCGUUUAUUGUGCAGCUGUAACUUAGAGAAUAAUAAAUCGGCAGAGAAAUCAGUCAAAUUAAACUAAUUAAAAAUGCAAUUUGGUCUACUAAAAGUUAAAUUUAGUGCAAUUUAAUGUUUUGAGUUGCUUUAACUGGUAAAUUUUAGUUAUUGUAACAGAUAAACUAACACUUUCCAAUGUAAAGAACUUGCAAUGUCUUGUUUGUUCAACAAGACAAAAUCAACUUUUUUAGGGCAACGAGUUUCCAUUAACUUUUUAGGUUCAAUCAACUUGUACGGGCUUACAGUGUAGCCUACACCUACCCCAACCCUACCCCUUACAAUAAUGAAAUAAAUAGUAAUUAUUGGCGUACGGUGUGACAAAAAAAAUUACGCUGUAUUGAUGUGCGCAUACCCAGUAGCGCCAUACAUAUCCCUGCUAGCCUUAACCAGACACUUACAGCUACAGGUCAGGCAGUCAAUGCAGCUGUUUGCAGUUUUACUUUUAUAAUAAAUUCAUAUUUCAACCUGUUCCGCAUCCAAAACUACAAACAUUGCUCUUCUUUCGAAUCGUCCAUUUAAUAACCUACCAAAACAUCUUAAUAUUUGAUAUGAUACAGGCUGCAUUAAUUUAUCAAACUUAUAUUUUGUAUUUAAAAGGCCUUUUGGCUACUGCUCCGAUGUUUUUAGUGUAAUGACUGUUGUGGUUUCCUCUCAUUAGUCUAUAAUUAAAGAACCAUCAAUCUCUCCUGUGAGCUCCAACGUAGCAUAAAUAAUUUACUUGUAUAUUCAAAACUUUCAUUAGAUUUCAUUAAUAUUAACCACUCAAACAAUCCCCACAGUCCUGCGAAACGCAAAGAGAAAGAGAGGGGGAGACAGUGAGAGAGGCAAACUGAGCGAUCAACACAGAGAGAAAGAUUGUAACUGCAACAAGAGCCGAAAUACUGGUUAUUUAUGCUGGCACAGUUACAAGCAAACUCAAACGUCACACACAUAUACUGAAGGCUCUUGGAUAAUUAAUGUUUUGCAUAACAGCAACAAAGACUUGUAUUGAGAACAUUAUCUAUGACAUCAGCAUGACAUCACUGAUUCCACAUCAGUAUAGCCGAAGUGACGUCUGUUUACCCGUUUAAUUUCUGGAAUAUCUGUAAACUGACACAAAGGGCCUACGGCUCUUCCUGGCCUUUUAGCAAACAGGAAAACAAACAAGACAAAACAGUCAAAGUGAGUCAUGAGCUAAUAUGGCAUCGUUGGUUAUGAGCUGGACAGUGCAAUAUUAAACUGAAAAUUACAGCCACAAACAUUAAUUCCCCCUCUCAACUUUUGUGCAUCCAAACAUUUGUAUAGGGCUACUCGGAAAUAGAAAUCCUGGACAACGUCACAUUGGAAAAACGAAUAUAUGUCAGCUAAUAUUAGCUAAUAGUCAGUUCAACAAACCACAAAAUCAAAGUCCAGAUCUGAAUCUCAACCACUGGAGCCACACCCAAGCUUACUGAACACUGAUUGGGAGAACAAACUGUCAGAUAUCCCAUAAUGCAUCACUGCACGCACAACCAGCCCUAACACACACAGCUCGAAAUACUACUGGAAAACUGAGUGUUACUUAAUUUUGAUCUCUGUGAUGGUUUAAUUUCAAAGCACCAUUUGACAUUCUUUUGAUUAUAUGAUGUUCAUUGACAUUCUUUUAAUUUUUUUUUAUUAUCAUUUAAAAAAAAUAAAUCGAUUCAAAUGAAUCCUUUCAAUGCAUUUUUUUUACCUUUUUUAAUGAAUUAUGUUCUACAUAAUUUUUUAACAUACAUUUUGUAAAUUCUGUUUAAAUGGAAAUGAUGCCAAGAUUAAUAUAAAAAUUAGAUUUUGUCAAAUUGGCAAAAUGGUCUUUGAUAGUCUUGGAAGCACCAGUAAGAAAAACCAUAGUCAGCGAUGUUUUGCAGCAGUUGCCAUCUUUUUACAGCAAAAUCGAGUUACAUUAUGGUUGUAGAAAUUUCAACUUGUUUCAAAUGUUCUGUUUGUAAAGAAAAACAAUAUGUAAAGAAUAGUUUAUUAUUAUUACGUGGUAAGCCAGCAAAAAUUCAAAAAUUGGCAUCUUUCCAGCAGACAAAAAUCAUUCAUAGGGUGAAUGACACUUUUCAAACCACAACCGAAACUUCCUUCAGAGCUCAGUUUUGCAGCCAUAUGGUUCACCUGUACUUCCAUGUAUUUCGCACCACCCAUUGAUUAUUCUUUCAGAUUACCAGCCACUAUUCUAUCCUUCACGGUAGGUAGGGUAUACCUCAUAUGACAUCACAUUGGUAUACAUCAAAUACAUGAGAAAAUGGUUCUUUGAAAGACGUGGUCUCAUCUGACCACAAAAUAUUUUCUCAUUUUGCAUCUAGGUCACGAAUCACGAUUUUGCUUUUUGGUAACUCCAGGCAUGGUUUCACAUGGUGCUGUUUGUUUAAUGGCUUCUUGUAUGCCACCCUCCCUUACAGGACAGCUUUACUCCUUUGAACUACAUCUGCAUCAAAACUACUGUUUUCUAUAUGACUCGCCUCCUGAGAUCCACCUUCAGCUGCCUGCUUUUCAGCGGCGGUUGUGGCUUCUCUAUUGGUCGGAUGAAACGGAUGGUCCUCACACUAGAUACUGGCUUCAGCUAUCACCUUCAGAACCUGAGCAUGUUGCCACCCCGGUCCUUUCAUUUCUUGAAUGUCCGCUCCCUGACACGUUCUUCCGGUCAGACACUUGUUUCCAUUUUGUGUACCUUGCUGCUCCAUCUUCUCCAACUGGCUCAUGCGAUCCUCCUCUGGUAUAGUGAGGCUUGCACCUCAUGACCAACAUGCACCUUUUCUAGCCUCGUAGUGAGAUGUAGAUGCCACGUGCCAUUCUGCUCAAAUCAACAUUUUAUGUCUCAGCCUCAUUUCAGCCAGCUCGACAGCAUCUUUUGACAAGUAAUGGCCAUUUGUAAGGCAUAUAUACACAAGUAAUUAUUCAAACAUUUGGAAUAUGCACAUAUUAAUUAAAAAAAACAGUAGGUCAGAUUAAUUUUUUUUUUUUUUUAAAUGUUUUUAUUAAUUGGCCAUUACCUUAAAAUGUCAUGUGGCAUGACUAUGAUUUCUAUUACAAAUAAUACAUAUCUUUUGGAUCUCUUUACAUAUCUUUUGAAGGAAUAAUAUGCCACUUCAAACUGGUGGAACAAGUCUAUAAAAACACAUGGGUCUUUCCAUGUCAAAUCAAACAAAUUUCAGAAACUUCCCCAGCUCAAAUUUUUGAUUUUGUCAAUUACAUACAUAGCUGUGUUAGCUUUUUUCAUUUAAUUAACAUAGUACAUUUUUUUAUAAGAAUGAUACAUUUAUUUAUUAUAAUAAAUACAUGCUGGCCCUGAUCUCUCUGUCUGGUUUUAUUUUGCGAUAUAACUGCCCUAAAUAUAUGGCACAUUUUAACAGAUUUUGAAUGAAUCUACAGCACUGCAUGAGAUUCAUUUAAUGCAAAUGAGAAUAGAUGCAUUACAAAACUAUAAUCUUCCGUGUUUUGCUUAAGGAUACACUGGUGAUGGUGCAUGAUUUUUCAUGAUUCAGCCAUAAAAAUGAACAUACGAAAAAAAAAAAAAAGCCCAAAUCCUCAACUGCUACACAACCAACACCCGCCAAACAGAUGAACUGUAAUGGAAUUAAUCCUGGACAGGAAUAGUUUUAACCUGAACAGACUCUGGUGUUCUAAGCAGUGGUAAGAAUAGGACUAACCUAGAAACCUGGAUAAAUAACCACUCAUGCUUACACAGAAAGAAGACCCCACUCAAGACAAAGAGAGAAAUAUUCACGGAUUAAAAGAGGUCUUAACCUGAAACACUCAUCUGUGCAUGUACACACUCACACAGCAUAUUUUCACAUACAUAUAUAUAUAUAUAUAUUUUUUUUUUUUUUUUUUCCUCAGUCGACUGUAGUAAGUGCUUUAACAAAUGUAAUCAGACAACACUUAAUCAUAGCUGGAGAUCAGUCUAUUUAAAGGGGUCAUGCAUUUAUGAUUACAUUUUUCCACUUAUAAUUCUAUUAAAGGUUUUUUUUUUUAGUUUUCAUGACAACAUCCACCCAUAUCUAUAACCCUGAGAAGAAAAAAAAAAAAAAAAAAAAUUUUAGUCAGCUUCAUUUCAGUAAAUGUUUCUUUUGAUCUAAAGAAGAACUCCGAAAGAUGAAGCUCAUUUUUAUCUCACAACCAUAGGUGAAGCCAGAACCAACUGAAGGGUAAGGCUAAAAGUCUAAUGUUAGUAAACCUGUCUUUUUAGGCAAGUAGCCUACCAGAUAUGGGUAAUGUCACGAUCUCUAGCUGGAGUGCCCACGAGGUCUGCCUGUACCCUUUACCAUUCCCCUCAGUCUCCAUUUUCCAUAAUCCUUUGCCUAGACACAUCAAUUGCAAUCACCUGUCUCUCAUUACCUCAUCAGUCUCCCACUAUAAGAAUAGCACACACACAGUGAUUGAAUGUUUCCAAGUUUCAUAGUUUUGCCCUGCCUGUGUUUUCACCCUGGAUUGUUUCCUUGUUUCUGAUUGUUUGAUGCCUGUCCUGAUCAUUGCCUGUUUGUGGAUUACUCUUCUGCCUCUGGUUUGCUGUUUCUGGACCCUGCCUGUUUUGACCACGCUCUCCAUUAAUAAAGCUUGCAAGUGGAUACCCACUCCGUUGUCACGCCACUUUCAUUACAGGUGAUGUCAUAAGACAUUUUUUAAUAUGACAGCAUUAGUAUUUAACUAUCAUAAUUUAAUUAAAAUAUUGUAAAUUACUAAUUGUAACGCUUUCACGGUUAUUUAAAAAGCAAAAAUUAUACAGAGAACGCAAGCAAAGAACAUUUACCAAAGAACAGUAGACAUCAGUCUAGCACAAGUUUAAGCAGCACUCUCAAAAAUAAAGUAAAACAUUCGUUAUAAUCGGUGAAGCCGUCUAUACACUGUUUGAUGAACGGAUCUCUUACCUACAUCAUACGUACAUCUGCACUUUGUUGUUUAUGAUGAGAGAAUUCGUGAGAGUGCAGAAUUCAGUGAGCAAGUGCACGCACUGAUCAAAGCAUUUCAUCGUCAAGUUUUCACCCAUCUGAACACUUCUGAUUGGCGGUUGCAUUCAUAAACUCAAAGAAGUCAUGUGUGAUCGGCUGUAAUGCACAAUGCUAUAAAAAUGCUAAACGUAAUGCUGCAAUCAACACUUUGCAUUUUAUUUUAAUUUGAUUUGCGACAGCCAUAUUUGAUUAAUUGAAUAUGCAGCGGCAUUUUGUCCCAAGCGCCCGUUAAUUUCCGAGCCACCUUAUCCACAUUUUUCCUAACAAGCUUACUGCAUUUUAAAUUAUUGGAGGCACUUCCGGUUUGGGGAAGUUACACUCAAAAAGACUGCAACAAAUCAUUUCAAAUCAUAAAAUAGCGCUACAAAUAAUCCUUAUACGUCAUUUUCACUGAAUGGGCUAUAAAUUUUCAUUCAUUUUCUAUUUUCAGAAGUCAGGAGAAUAAUGUUACAUUUGGUAUAUGUGAAGUGAUAUAACAACAAUAUCCACAGAAUAGCUCUUUUCAGCCCACUACAUUAAUUUCCUCCUGAUUAUUUUCAUGUUUCCUUUGUAUUCCGCUGUAAGUAAAUGAAGACAACAUAUGCUGUGCAUUUUGGCCUGCUCUCCCAAUUUAAUUUAAGAUAUUAACUAUGAAUAAUUCCCUGGAAUGCACUAAGAAACUUUAAUUUUUCUUCCCAAAUCCUCAUGUCUCUUUCCAGGUUUGUUUUCACACAGAUGCUGUUAAAUGUAACUUAUGAAAUAUAUACAUAUUACUAUAAUGAUAUUUAACACAUCUGUAAUAUUGCUGAGGAUAUUAGGAGGAUCUUUAGGAAUUCAUGGUGUGCUGGAAGUAACUUGACAAUGCUUUUACACUUCCUAAAUUUCCUUUUAAUGAUCAAUGGUUGAAGGGUGAGUAAAAUGUCACCUCAUUGUACCCAGAUUUUGAGAAUGCUUAUUAUUGCAUUCACAGAGUGAACCUUUUGCUGAUUGUUUACAGUGUAAACGGAAAUUACUCCCAUAAUUUGAACAAAGCGUCAAGGGGCGUAGGAAAAAGGUGGAUACACGCUCCGCCUAUGCUCACAACAUCAAGGAACAUUUGACUCCUCAUGAUAUGACCCCUUUAGACUUCCUGUGUGCCUCCA